AUUGAACGCUGGCGGCAUGCCUUACACAUGCAAGUCGAACGGCAGCACGGGUGCUUGCACCUGGUGGCGAGUGGCGAACGGGUGAGUAAUACAUCGGAACAUGUCCCGUAGUGGGGGAUAGCCCGGCGAAAGCCGGAUUAAUACCGCAUACGAUCUACGGCUGAAAGCGGGGGACCUUCGGGCCUCGCGCUUGCGGGUUGGCCGAUGGCGGAUUAGCUAGUUGGAGGGGUAAAGGCCUACCAAGGCGACGAUCAGUAGCUGGUCUGAGAGGACGACCAGCCACACUGGGACUGAGACACGGCCCAGACUCCUACGGGAGGCAGCAGUGGGGAAUUUUGGACAAUGGGCGAAAGCCUGAUCCAGCAAUGCCGCGUGUGUGAAGAAGGCCUUCGGGUUGUAAAGCACUUUUGUCCGGAAAGAAAUCCUUGGCCCUAAUACGGUCGGGGGAUGACGGUACCGGAAGAAUAAGCACCGGCUAACUACGUG
rnacentral:rRNA from 1 species